rnacentral:rRNA from 1 species
GAUGAACGCUGGCGGCGUGCCUAAUACAUGCAAGUCGAGCGAACGGACGAGAAGCUUGCUUCUCUGAUGUUAGCGGCGGACGGGUGAGUAACACGUGGAUAACCUACCUAUAAGACUGGGAUAACUUCGGGAAACCGUAGCUAAUACCGGAUAAUAUUUUGAACCGCAUGGUUCAAAAGUGAAAGACGGUCUUGCUGUCACUUAUAGAUGGAUCCGCGCUGCAUUAGCUAGUUGGUAAGGUAACGGCUUACCAAGGCAACGAUGCAUAGCCGACCUGAGAGGGUGAUCGGCCACACUGGAACUGAGACACGGUCCAGACUCCUACGGGAGGCAGCAGUAGGGAAUCUUCCGCAAUGGGCGAAAGCCUGACGGAGCAACGCCGCGUGAGUGAUGAAGGUCUUCGGAUCGUAAAACUCUGUUAUUAGGGAAGAACAUAUGUGUAAGUAACUGUGCACAUCUUGACGGUACCUAAUCUGAAAGCCACGGCUAACUACGUG